UUCGAUUAAGCCAUGCGAGUCGCGAGUCUUAGGGACUCGGCGUACCGCUCAGUAACACGUGGGUAACCUGCCCUAUGCUGGGGAAUAACCUCGGGAAACUGAGAAUAAUGCCCCAUAGUUCACCACGCCUGGAACGGUGGGUGGAUCAAAGCUCCGGCGGCAUAGGAUGGGCCUGCGGCGUAUCAGGUCGUAGGGGGUGUAAUGUACCCUCUAGCCAUCGACGCGUACGGGUGUUGGGAGACAUUGCCCGGAGAUGGAUUCUGAGACACGAAUCCAGACCCUACGGGGUGCAGCAGGCGCGAAAACUUGGCAAUGCGAGAAAUCGUGACCAGGGAACUCCAAGUGCAUCGGGUAAGACCGAUGCUUUUCUUGACUCUUCAACGGUCUUGGAAUAAGGGGUGGGUAAGGACGGUGCCAGCCGCCGCGGUAGUACCGGCGCCUCAAGUGGUAGUCGCUUUUAUUGGGCCUAAAACGUCCGUAGCCGGUUUGGUACAUUCGUGGGUAAAUCAAGGCGCUCAACGUCUUGAAUUCUGCGAGCACGGCCAGACUUGGGACCGGGUGAGGUGUGGGGUACUCUCAGGGUAGGGGUAAAAUCCUGUCAUCCUGAGAGGACCACCUGUUGCGAAGGCGCCACACUAGAGCGGAUCCGACGGUCAGGGACGAAGCCUAGGGGCACGAACCGGAUUAGAUACCCGGGUAGUCCUAGGUGUAAACGCUGUGGACUUGAUGUUGGGAGUGCUCCGAGCACCCUCAGUGUCGAAGCGAAGGUGAUAAGUCCACUGCCUGGGGAGUACGGUCGCAAGGCUGAAACUUAAAGGAAUUGGCGGGGGAGCACUGCAACCUGAGGAUUGUGCG
rnacentral:rRNA from 1 species